CAUGGAUUGAAAGAAGAAAGAAAGAAAGAAAGAAAGAAAGAAAAUAGAAAACAACCAUCUUGUAAGAAAAGAAGGACACACACUCAAGUCGCCAACAGUAAUUAAGACAGAAUUGCGUCGAAAAACGGAGAAUCUCUUAGAAAACAACAACAAAAUUGUGCGAUUCAAUCUGCUUUCAGAAUGUGAAAUAUCUUAUCAUUGUGGUUGACGCUCUCAUGCACAGAAACAAGUCCAAUGCGAUGUUGAAAACAAAAAGACAAAAACAGAAACGCAUUGAUUCCUUUGUUUGACAAAACCACUUUGAAAAUAGACAUGUUCUGUGAUGAUUGUGGACUGAUGUUCCAUUAAAAAUUGCUUUGUGUCUCAUGCGACGACGACAACGAUGAUAAUGCUAUCAAAGUCUCAGCUAGAGUCAACUUUAAUGUCAUUAUUGUGUUCUUAUUUUGUCUUCCUUGUCGGUGAUUUUUCGGAUCGAUUCAAUCGAAACUGAAGUAACCCGAAAAGUCAGUAUCUGAAUGCAAAAUCGGGUGAUUCAAAUGCACUUAUGGACGUUGUGCCCCAAUGCACAAUGAUAAAAUGGAAAAAAUGUGCGGAGAAAACGAAUCGAAGUAGAAAAACCGAGGAAACAAUAACGCAAUGAAAUCAGAACCAUGUUGAUAACACGUACGCAUUAUUAUUAUAUUGAAAUUUAUUUAUAUGAUGAACUGAAGUUACACUUGUUUAAUCUCAGUUGUGAUCAGUUUUAAAGUGUAAACCUUGGGAUUCAUCGACCCAACCGAAAUCAAAUGACAAAAACGAAAAAGAAAGAAAUCGAUAUUUUUUUCGAGAACGAAUUGAAAACGAAUUUAAGAAAAACACGAUCACAUCAAUUAGAUUAGAACGAUAUAAAACCACCGGGCCACUUGACGCAAAAAAUAAUGUAAAGUAUUUUGUUUUUCUCCGCGUUGCACGUAGACCACUUGAAAAUACCGAAUUAACAUCAUCUUGAGCGAGGCCAAUGUGUCCGCGUGUAAAACAAAGGUACAAAAAGUGUGAAUAAACCAGUUUCCACGAAAUAGUAACAAUAUUAUCAAAAUUAUGGGCUCAAAAUUUGGACACGAAAAGGCCGCCGACACGGGUGAACAUGAAAUUGGAGCACAGAUUUGUUAUAAACCAAAAGAGAAAGAGUGAAGUGAAAAAAAAAACACAAUGACACAGUAUAUGUUGCUGAUGCGUGAUGCCGCACGCAAAUUCGUGUGUU